CUUCUUCUUCAUUUAAGUAAUGUCAAAUUGGUAAUAAAAUUUCAGACGAAAUAGUGAAAUUUUUUGGUUUUUUCAUCAAUUUCCUCGUAUUUUCGUGGAUUUUUUACGUGUUUUGUGAUUGUCCCAACUUCCCACGAUGGCCCUCAAUGGAUUCAUUGAAUUCUUCCAGAAGGGCAAGGUAGGAAAUACGUUCCGACCGAAGAAGCGAUUCACACAGGGUACGAUAAGAUAUUCACUGCACAAGCAGGCGCAGGCGAGUCUCAAUUCCGGAAUAAACUUGAGGCAAGUUGUGCGUCUGCCACAGGGAGAGAAUAUGAAUGAUUGGCUGGCAGUUCAUGUGGUGGACUUUUUCAAUCGCAUCAACCUCAUCUACGGCACUGUUUCGGAAUUCUGUACGGUAGCGACGUGCGCCACAAUGUCCGGAGGUCCGAGAUAUGAGUACCUGUGGGCAGAUGGGGUUCAAUACAGGAAACCCACAGCUCUGCCGGCACCAAAGUACAUCGAACUCCUGAUGGAUUGGGUGGAGUGUCAGAUAAAUAAUGAGAAUCUCUUCCCGGUGUCCACGGACAUCCCCUUCCCGCGUUCCUUCCCAACACUCUGCCGCAAGAUCCUCACCCGCCUCUUCCGUGUCUUCGUGCACGUCUACAUCCAUCACUUUGACCGUAUUGUCAGCAUUGGCGCCGAAGCGCACGUAAACACCUGCUACAAGCACUUUUACUACUUUGUUCAAGAAUUCGAAUUGGUCUCGCCCAAAGAACUCGAACCCCUGUCCGAGAUGACGUCGCGAAUCUGCAAGGAUACGUAAUGUCCUCAUCCGCCCAUUGCAAGCCAAAUAUUUUAUUGUUGCUCUGGUUUAAGUUUCCCCCCACUUCCACAGUGGCUCACACCACUUGUCCCGCAAGUUGAGAUCAAGUGCAAUUAAUCGGAUUCUCAAGGAAAUGCCCCAAAAAAAAGGAAGCAAAUAAUCUCUUUAUGUCAUGCUAAAGUGUCGCUACAAAUUAAAUGGACCAUCAUCUGCAGUCCAGAGCUCAAAAUCUUGAUUUCCUAAUGUUUUAUAAAGUUCAAGGUAAAAAAAAAUCAAGAAUAGCAUGAAGAUAAAAAUUACUAAAAUACGAAUUAUUAAAAUCAAAAAAUCAAAAAAAAAAGGAAAAAAGAUUUCCCAUCUAUGCCAACAAUGGACUCGAACUUACGAUUGAAAUGUUAUAAAGUCUUCUGCUUUUGCGCUAAGCUAAACUUUUCUCCAAUUCAGUACAAAGCAAGUAAAGCAUAAAUUACGUUUUUUGUAACAUUUUUAUGCAGAAUUUUGAAGCAUUUAUUUGCCAAUAUCGUCUCUUUUCUUGCAAAUUUUAUUCUCUCACAAAUUCAGUAUUAAAAUCACCAUCAACACACACACGACACUUUAGAAUGGUUCACGUGUACUAGGCCACAGCAAAGAGAUUCUUCCGGAAAGAAAAGAAAUAUCAAAUGCUGGCACACAAUUGCAAUCCCAUCCAGGUGAAUAACUUUGAUGUUGUGAACAUGUCUCUGAUUUAAUUUAAUAAAUAAUUAAUUUAUUGGGUUGUGAAGUGCGCAAAUUAGUAAGAAAUGUGUCAUAUUUCAUCCAAAAAGAAUAUGUAAUGCUAGUCUUUCAAUGAACAAAAUGGGAUUGCAAUGUGAUGAUGACCAAGAAGAUUCGAGAAAAGUACAACCUUACCAAUAACAA